rnacentral:rRNA from 1 species
UACGAAGGGGGCUAGCGUUGUUCGGAUUUACUGGGCGUAAAGCGCGUGUAGGCGGGUCGUUAAGUUGGGGGUGAAAUCCCGAGGCUGAACCUCGGAACUGCCUCCAAAACUGGCGACCUGGAGCAAGAUAGAGGCGAGUGGAAUUCCGAGUGUAGAGGUGAAAUUCGUAGAUAUUCGGAGGAACACCAGUGGCGAAGGCGACUCGCUGGAUCUUUGCUGACGCUGAGACGCGAAAGCGUGGGGAGCAAACAGG